GAUGAACGCUGGCGGCGUGCCUAAUACAUGCAAGUCGAGCGAACAGACGAGGAGCUUGCUCCUCUGACGUUAGCGGCGGACGGGUGAGUAACACGUGGAUAACCUACCUAUAAGACUGGGAUAACUUCGGGAAACCGGAGCUAAUACCGGAUAAUAUAUUGAACCGCAUGGUUCAAUAGUGAAAGACGGUUUUGCUGUCACUUAUAGAUGGAUCCGCGCCGCAUUAGCUAGUUGGUAAGGUAACGGCUUACCAAGGCAACGAUGCGUAGCCGACCUGAGAGGGUGAACGGCCACAUGGGAACUGAGACCCGGUCCAGACCCGUAGGGGAGGCAGCAGUAGGGAUUCUUCCGAAAGGGGGAAAGGCCGGAGGGGGCAGCGCCGCGGGAGUGAUAAAGGUUUUGGGACGUUAAAACUUUUUUAUGUGGGAAAAAAAAAUGUGUAAGUACAUAUGCACGUCUGGACGGAACCUACUCAGAAACCCACGGCAAACCCGGUC
rnacentral:rRNA from 1 species